rnacentral:ncRNA from 1 species
AACUGCCAAGAUUAAAACGCAACGUGCACUCCGUGCACCAGAGCCGGUAGGUAGCCCGGCCGUCCUGCUUUUGCCGGGUAAGUCACCUGGCCCUCCGGGUUGUCCCUUCUUUGUUCCUUUAUU